AGCUCCAGUAGCCUAUCCACAUGUUGUUGCAGUUAAAAAGCUCGUAGUUGAAUGUCUGGGAUUUGAGUCUGCCGCUCAGCGGCGACUCUGCCCGCCCCGCCGAAAGGCGCUUUUACUGUGAAAAAAUUAGAGUGUUCCAAGCAGGCCUAGCCUGAAUACCUUAGCAUGGAAUAAUAACAUAGGACUGUCUGUGAUGUUGUUGGUUUGCAUCCAGCGGUAAUGAUUAAUAGGGACGAUCGGGGGCAUUUCUAUUCAGCAGUCAGAGGUGAAAUUCUUGGAUUUGCUGAAGAGAAACUGCUGCGAAAGCGUCUGCCAAGGGCGUUUUCAUUA
rnacentral:rRNA from 1 species